rnacentral:rRNA from 1 species
AACGAACGCUGGCGGCAGGCUUAACACAUGCAAGUCGAACGCUCGAACUUCGGUUCGGGAGUGGCAGACGGGUGAGUAACGCGUGGGAACAUACCCUUCGGUUCGGAAUAACUCAGGGAAACUUGAGCUAAUACCGGAUACGUCCGAGAGGAGAAAGGUUUAUAUGCCGAAGGAUUGGCCCGCGUCCGAUUAGCUAGUUGGUGAGGUAAUUGCUCACCAAGGCGACGAUCGGUAGCUGGUCUGAGAGGAUGAUCAGCCACACUGGGACUGAGACACGGCCCAGACUCCUACGGGAGGCUG